rnacentral:rRNA from 1 species
UGGGGAAUAUUGGACAAUGGGCGCAAGCCUGAUCCAGCCAUGCCGCGUGAGUGAUGAAGGCCCUAGGGUUGUAAAGCUCUUUCACCGGUGAAGAUAAUGACGGUAACCGGAGAAGAAGCCCCGGCUAACUUCGUGCCAGCAGCCGCGGUAAUACGAAGGGGGCUAGCGUUGUUCGGAUUUACUGGGCGUAAAGCGCACAUAGGCGGACUAUUAAGUCAGGGGUGAAAUCCCGGGGCUCAACCCCGGAACUGCCUUUGAUACUGGUAGUCUUGAGUUCGAGAGAGGUGAGUGGAAUUCCGAGUGUAGAGGUGAAAUUCGUAGAUAUUCGGAGGAACACCAGUGGCGAAGGCGGCUCACUGGCUCGAUACUGACGCUGAGGUGCGAAAGCGUGGGGAGCAAACAGG